rnacentral:rRNA from 1 species
AUUGAACGCUGGCGGCAGGCCUAACACAUGCAAGUCGAACGAGUGGCGGACGGGUGAGUAAUGUCUGGGAAACUGCCUGACGGAGGGGGAUGACUACUGGAAACGGUAGCUAAUACCGCAUACCAUCGGAUGUGCCCAGAUGGGAUUAGCUAGUAGGUGGGGUAACGGCUCACCUAGGCGACGCUCCCUAGCUGGCCUGAGAGGAUGACCGGCCACACUGGAACUGAGACACGGUCCAGACUCCUACGGGAGGCAGCAGUGGGGAAUAUUGGGCAAUGGGCGCAAGCCUGAUGCAGCCAUGCCGCGUGUAUGAAGAAGGCCUUCGGGUUGUAAAGUACUUUCGGCAGGGAGGCGUUACCCAAAGAGGAAGCCCCGGCUAACUCCGUGCCAGCCGCCGCGGUAAUAC